UGGAAGGAUCCGAAAAAUUAGUGGGAGUCAUUAUUUGCAUCUUAAAAUCUUUAGAAGUAAAUUAAAAUAUUAAGUAUAAAAGUCUAACUUGAAUCUCUACUCUCGUAGUUAAACCAUCAUGUCAGUCUCAAACCUUCUAGCUCGCAUCCUUGAAACUAAUCAUUUGAUUGGUAAUAAUUAUAAAGACUGUGUGAUAGCCCAGCC
rnacentral:lncRNA from 1 species